CUGGAGUGCCUGCACCCUGCGGUCCCCUACCCGGAACACCUGGGACAGACUGUCUCCAGUACCCGCCAGCAGGGCGCCAGGAAGUCUCCAUACUUGCUGGCUGUCAGGAUCUGACCCCCGGGGUCCCGACUAGGUGCAAAGGGGACGGUGAGAGGCACAGCUGUCUCCCCCAGCCUAAGCUGCUCAAGCUUCGCCCCAGCGCCCAGCCCUGUUUGGCCCCAAGGGUGACCCCCUCUCCCAGUAGCCAGAGCCUGGCAGGGGGAGACCCCAAGAAAUACAUUCUGAAGACUUUCUCAGACCAUCGCACUUCCUCCUGCCUGACCGUCAGAAUGGCUGAGUCUUCUUGACGUCUGUCACUUCAUCACAUCAUGUAUUCACCAAGGUGGCAAAUCCUUGGGCCUUCACAGUACAGCUAGAAGUUGGCCGCCCUGGCUAAGGUUCUUUUUUAUGCAAAUCUCUGUGCUUACCCUUGUUUGGACCAGAUGUGUGCUGACUCCUGCCUUCAAGACACCAGCAACCCUGCUCUGCAGAGAAAGGAGAUAAGCCAAGACUUGUCCAGGGGCGGAGAUGAGCAGUGCCAUGAAAGGGGUCAAAUGGGAAGAGCUGCCAUGGGCUGGUGUGUCCGGAGUGUUUGGGAUGGGAAUAGCCGCUGCGCACGGGGCGUCUCCUGGGUACCAUGUGAUGCUCUGAGCUCUCUAAGCUGCUUACUGUUCACAGUAACCCUAGUUAGGCAGGUCACAUAGUAUCCGCAAUUUCAAAAUAAGAAAAACAAGCCACAAGGAGAUGAAGUAGCUCUCCCAAGGCCACAGAGG
rnacentral:lncRNA from 1 species